AGGUGGAGAAUCAUGUUGUUGAGUUCCUUGUGGAGUGAUGGAUCAGAUGGCAUCGGCAUGCGGGGAAUCUAACAAACUUCUUGCAAUGGUUUUCCAGCCAGCUGAGGUGCGUGGACUUGUGUCGAUCCCUUCCCAUAUACGAUUCUGGUGUAUUGGUUUAGGAAUGGGACAUAGGACAUUGAAAAUAGUUGUAAUUGGAUGAUAUUAUGUACUUAUAGCUUCGAGUGGGCUCAUUGUGCAUAAUGCCGAGAGAAGGGAAGAAACUGUGCAGACUUGGAAGUGUGCCAAGGUAAUAAAAUUGGAUUGGUAUGAUCAUAUUGUGUCAACAGGCUCUUUGAUGUACCAGUCCUAGAACAAGUGUCAGUGCGACAAAGACUGCAAGCAAGAAGUAGCCAAUGCGAGAACAACAACGACAAAUAAGAAGGGAACCUGUACGACAAUGGUGGCGACUAAGAAGAAGACCACGUUUAAAUCCUCUGGUACAAAGAGUUGAUAACCUUUUUAAUGUCUCAAAUCUUGUUGAAGUGACCAUACAGGAACAACCAUAAGUCAACAGAAGUGAAAGUGGGGCGUCAGGUAAUUCAAAUUUGAAUAAGCACUGACCAUUAAUAAUUUUUUCCUGUGAUUUUUAGAAUGUAUGCGAUGCCAAAAAUUUUAUGAGGCUUUAAGCGCUGACCAUCAACAAUUUUUAGUUGCGCUUUCAAAUUUCAGGGUUCAGGGUUCUCGUCGUGACAUGAAGGUUUGGUGAAGGAUCUGUCGGAUGGAUGGAAUGUGAUGAUGGUUUGAUACUGCUUCGUUCUUGGAAGAGAUGUCUCGUGCAAUGCUUGCAUAGAUGCUGCGGCAUUGGAUUCCAUCAGCUUCACCAAAUCUGCUUCAAAUGUGAAGGCAAAUACUGAUUAUGUGAGUCCUGUUUCUGUUGGUUUAUUCUCAUCUCAUAUACCUAGGAAUAAAACUUAGGGAUUGUCUUUUAAGUUCCGAACCAAUUCGAAUGCAGAGAGAACAAAAGUUAAAGUUAUCCUUAAUAAAGGAAGUUUUUGUUGAGUGUGGGAUUGAAUCUAUGGGAUUAUUGAAUGUGUGAUUGGAUCUAUGGGAUCGAUGGAAUGAAAGAUUAGCAGGUUAUUUUGAA